GUUCGUCUUCAGGGGCAGGGUGUAAUUCCCGACCGGUGGUGAUAGUCCACGACCUGUUUAGUAGUACUACUAAAUGGCUGAACUGGUGAAAUUCCAGUACCGACAGUAUAGUCUGGAUAAAGAAGAUAGAG
rfam:Enterococcus columbae DSM 7374 = ATCC 51263 genomic scaffold acyDG-supercont2.2, whole genome shotgun sequence.